AAAUGGUCUUGAGACCAGAGGAAAUAGUUAAACUUCAUUAUUUUCCUUCUACGUUUAAUGCAGAGAGAAAUGCCAUGGAGUGUGAUGACUUAAGGUCAGGGGCAGUGAGCAAGAGGAGACAAGGGCAAGGAUGACUCGGCAAUGAGGACGAAGCAGCCAAGUGGAGCUCCUCAUCACCUUCUUCUCUUCUUACCUUCCUUCCUCUUUCCUUCUCUGUGCCCAGCGAUGGAGGGACUGAACAAUAGGAUCUUCCUUGUGCAGACAUCAAUUCCCAGACCCAGCUUGUGCAAAAGAGGGAGCUAG
rnacentral:lncRNA from 1 species